UACGUAGGGUGCAAGCGUUAAUCGGAAUUACUGGGCGUAAAGCGUGCGCAGGCGGUUUUCGUAAGUCUGUCGUGAAAGCCCUCGGCUCAACCGAGGAAGUGCAUCUGAAACUGGCGAGCUAGAGUACUAAAGAGGGUCGCGGAAUUCCCGGUGUAGAGGUGAAAUUCGUAGAUAUCGGGAGGAACACCGGUGGCGAAGGCGACGGUCCUGGACCGGCAUUG
rnacentral:rRNA from 1 species